UACGGAGGGUGCGAGCGUUAAUCGGAAUUACUGGGCGUAAAGGGUGCGUAGGUUGUUUGAUAAGUUAUCUGUGAAAUACCUGAGCUUAACUUAGGGGAGUCAGAUAAGACUGUUGGACUGGAGUAUAGGAGAGGGUAGUGGAAUUUCCGGUGUAGCGGUGAAAUGCGUAGAGAUCGGAAGGAACACCAGUGGCGAAGGCGGCUACCUGGCCUGAUACUGACACUGAGGCACGAAAGCGUGGGGAGCAAACAGG
rnacentral:rRNA from 1 species